rnacentral:rRNA from 1 species
CCUACGGGUGGCAGCAGUGAGGAAUAUUGGUCAAUGGACGAGAGUCUGAACCAGCCAAGUAGCGUGAAGGAUGACUGCCCUAUGGGUUGUAAACUUCUUUUAUAAAGGAAUAAAACGAGGCACGUGUGCAUUUUUGCAUGUACUUUAUGAAUAAGGAUCGGCUAACUCCGGGCCAGCAGCCGCGGUACUACGGCGGAUCCGAGCGUUAUCCGGAUUUAUUGGGUUUAAGGGGAGCGUAGAUGGGUUGUUAAGUCAGUUGUGAACGUUUGGGGCUCAACCGUAAAAUUGCAAUUGAUACUGGCAGUCUUGAGUACAGUUGAGGUAAGCGGAAUUCGUGGUGUAGCGGUGAAAUGCUUAGAUAUCACGAAGAACCCCGAUUGCGAAGGCAGCUUACUAAACUGUGACUGACAUUGAUGCUCGAAAGUGUGGGUAUCAAACAGGAUUAGAUACCCGAGUAGUC